CCGCCAUACUAUCCAUAUAUUAUGGCAACUUUUGUUGCUGCCGUAAUUGGCUUUGUUUAUUUUGCCGGUUAUGGUGAUUACGGCGGUCUUGAACCGCCGUUUUCAACGUAUAUAAAAUAAAAAAAAAAACACAAUCCUAGCUCAUUCAAAGAAACAAUAUACGGCGCUCUCAUCUCCCUUCUAUCUCUCCUUCGUCUCCGACAACGCCGUUCUUCCCUCUAGGGCUUCUCCUCUCUCCGCCGGUUACGAUCUCUCCAGUGCUGUGGACACGAAGAUUCCGGCGAGAGGCAAGGAUCUGGUGGCUACUAACCUCAGCAUUUCAAUUCCAGAAGGCACCUAUGCCCGCAUUGCUCCACGAUCGGGUCUUCCGUUGAAGCAUUGGAUUGACGUUGGAGCGGGGGUGAUACUGUUCAACCAGUCGACGAUCUCAGAUCUUCUUUCGUGACUUUACCCCCUCCUCUCUCUCUCUCUCUCUCUCUCUCUCUCUCUCUCUCCGAUCUCAGAUCUUCUAUUACUUACUUCUAUUAAGAAAAUUGCUCGAAUUCGACUCGGCAGUUAACAUUCUCGUUAACUCGGCCGGUGUUCUUGAUAGCAAGUACUCGACCAUAGCCAACAUUGCAGUGGAGGAUUUCGAUCACAUUUUCAGGAUGUACAGUAUGAAUCCCUUGAAUCUAUGUACAAUACCAAGCAUUUUGUGGCAAGCCGGCUUGAUAGAAAUUCCCUGACAGGAGAGGUUCCUACAAAUCGUUGUAAGAGAUGAGUUUGGAUAAUGAAGUUGGAACAAGUUCUCAGGAUGAAACUCACACAAGAGACCAAGAAACUAAAGCAGGCUUGUUUUAAAGUUACUUACAAAAAGAGGAAACUUUUGGCCUCCAAAUCUUAUUCAUCAUCAAUUAGCUAAGUUACUUGUCCUGUAUAUUCAUAUUCUAAGUAGUAAAAACAGUACUUAUUAGAUGGUUUAAAUAUAUUAUUAGAUAUUAACAUAGUUUAGGGAACUGGAUGGUAGAUUUGACUGAUUAGUGUUAUUGCAAUGCUUGUAUUUUGGUAAGUUUAGUAAGAUAAGGAUUUGUAUA